AACGAACGCUGGCGGCAUGCCUAAUACAUGCAAGUCGAACGAGACCUUCGGGUCUAGUGGCGCACGGGUGCGUAACGCGUGGGAACCUGCCCUUAGGUUCGGAAUAACUCCCCGAAAGGGGUGCUAAUACCGGAUAAUGUCUUCGGACCAAAGAUUUAUCGCCUUUGGAUGGGCCCGCGUUGGAUUAGCUAGUUGGUAGGGUAAAAGCCUACCAAGGCGACGAUCCAUAGCUGGUCUGAGAGGAUGAUCAGCCACACUGGGACUGAGACACGGCCCAGACUCCUACGGGAGGCAGCAGUGGGGAAUAUUGGACAAUGGGCGAAAGCCUGAUCCAGCAAUGCCGCGUGAGUGAUGAAGGCCUUAGGGUUGUAAAGCUCUUUUACCCGGGAUGAUAAUGACAGUACCGGGAGAAUAAGCGCCGGCUAACUCCGUG
rnacentral:rRNA from 1 species